CACAUGCAGUCGAGCGGAUGAGAAGAGCUUGCUCUUCGAUUCAGCGGCGGACGGGUGAGUAAUGCCUAGGAAUCUGCCUGGUAGUGGGGGACAACGUUUCGAAAGGAACGCUAAUACCGCAUACGUCCUACGGGAGAAAGCAGGGGACCUUCGGGCCUUGCGCUAUCAGAUGAGCCUAGGUCGGAUUAGCUAGUUGGUGAGGUAAUGGCUCACCAAGGCGACGAUCCGUAACUGGUCUGAGAGGAUGAUCAGUCACACUGGAACUGAGACACGGUCCAGACUCCUACGGGAGGCAGCAGUGGGGAAUAUUGGACAAUGGGCGAAAGCCUGAUCCAGCCAUGCCGCGUGUGUGAAGAAGGUCUUCGGAUUGUAAAGCACUUUAAGUUGGGAGGAAGGGCAUUAACCUAAUACGUUAGUGUUUUGACGUUACCGACAGAAUAAGCACCGGCUAACUCUGUGCCAGCAGCCGCGGUAAUACAGAGGGUGCAAGCGUUAAUCGGAAUUACUGGGCGUAAAGCGCGCGUAGGUGGUUUGUUAAGUUGGAUGUGAAAGCCCCGGGCUCAACCUGGGAACUGCAUCCAAAACUGGCAAGCUAGAGUACGGUAGAGGGUGGUGGAAUUUCCUGUGUAGCGGUGAAAUGCGUAGAUAUAGGAAGGAACACCAGUGGCGAAGGCGACCACCUGGACUGAUACUGACACUGAGGUGCGAAAGCGUGGGGAGCAAACAGGAUUAGAUACCCUGGUAGUCCACGCCGUAAACGAUGUCAACUAGCCGUUGGAAUCCUUGAGAUUUUAGUGGCGCAGCUAACGCAUUAAGUUGACCGCCUGGGGAGUACGGCCGCAAGGUUAAAACUCAAAUGAAUUGACGGGGGCCCGCACAAGCGGUGGAGCAUGUGGUUUAAUUCAAACAACGCGAAAACCUUACAAGGCCUUGACAUGCGAGAACUUUCCAGAGAUGGAUGGUGCCUUCGGGACUCUGACACAGGUGCUGCAUGGCUGUCAUCGCUCGUGUCGUGAAGAUGUGGGUUAAGUCCCGUACUAGCGCAACCCUGUC
rnacentral:rRNA from 1 species